rnacentral:rRNA from 1 species
AGCAGCCGCGGUAAUUCCAGCUCCAAUAGCGUAUAUUAAAGUUGCUGCAGUUAAAAAAGCUCGUAGUUGAAUUUCGGGACUAAUAUGUCGGUCGUGCCUCGGUACGUACUGGUUUAUUGGUUUCUCCUUUCUGAAGAACCAUGAUGUCAUUUAUUUGGUGUCGUGGGGAAUCAGGACUGUUACUUUGAAAAAAUUAGAGUGUUUAAAAGCAGGCUCACGCUUGAAUACAUUAGCAUGGAAUAAUGAAAUAGGACGUUUGAUUCUAUUUUGUUGGUUUCUAGGAUCGACGUAAUGAUUAAUAGGGAUAGUUGGGGGCAUUAGUAUUCAAUUGUCAGAGGUGAAAUUCUUGGAUUUAUUGAAGACUAACUACUGCGAAAGCAUUUGCCAAGGAUGUUUUCAUUAAUCAAGAACGAAAGUUAGGGGAUCGAAGACGAUCAGAUACCGUCGUAGUCUUAACCAUAAACUAUGCCGACUAGGGAUCGGAUGAUGUUAAUUUUUAAUGACUCAUUCGGCGCCUUAC